GGGAGCGUGGCUCGGCGGCUAAACAUCUGCUUGGUAUGUAGAAGGUCUCGGGUUCAAAUCCCUGCAUCUCCA
rnacentral:tRNA from 1 species